UACGUAGGGGGCAAGCGUUGUCCGGAUUUAUUGGGCGUAAAGAGCUCGUAGGCGGCUCGGUAAGUCGGAUGUGAAACCUCCAGGCUCAACCUGCAGACGCCAUCUGAUACUGCCGUAGCUUGAGUCCGGUAGAGGAGCAGGGAAUUCCUGGUGUAGCGGUGAAAUGCGCAGAUAUCAGGAGGAACACCAGCGGCGAAGGCGCUGCUCUGGGCCGGUACUGACGCUGAGGAGCGAAAGCGUGGGGAGCGAACAGG
rnacentral:rRNA from 1 species